rnacentral:rRNA from 1 species
GACGAACGCUGGCGGCGUGCUUAACACAUGCAAGUCGAACGGAAGGGCCCCUUUGGGGGUACUCGAGUGGCGACCGGGUGAGUAACACGUGAGUAACCUGCCCUUGACUUCGGGAUAACUUCAGGAAACUGGGGCUAAUACCGGAUAGGAAUCCUUGCUGCAACGUGGGGGUUGGAAAGUUUCGGCGGGUUUGGAUGGACUCGCGGCGUAUCUGCUUGUUGGUGGGGUAGUGUCUUACCAAGGCUUGGACGUGUAGCCGGCCUGAGAGGGCGACCGGCGACAUUGGGACUGAGAGACGGCCCAGACUGCUACGGGAGGCAGAAGUGGGGAAUAUUGAACAAUGGGCGGAAGCCUGAUGCAGAAAGGCCGCGUGCGGGAUGACGGCCUUCGGGUGGUAAACCGCUUUCAGAAGGGGCGAAGCUUGUGGUGACGGUACCUGAAGAAGAAGCAACGGCUAACUACGUG